rnacentral:rRNA from 1 species
AGUGAACGCUGGCGGUAGGCCUAACACAUGGAAGUCGAACGGCAGCACAGUAAGAGCUUGCUCUUACGGGUGGCGAGUGGCGGACGGGUGAGGAAUACAUCGGAAUCUACUUUUUCGUGGGGGAUAACGUAGGGAAACUUACGCUAAUACCGCAUACGACCUACGGGUGAAAGCAGGGGAUCUUCGGACCUUGCGCGAUUGAAUGAGCCGAUGUCGGAUUAGCUAGUUGGCGGGGUAAAGGCCCACCAAGGCGACGAUCCGUAGCUGGUCUGAGAGGAUGAUCAGCCACACUGGAACUGAGACACGGUCCAGACUCCUACGGGAGGCAGCAGUGGGGAAUAUUGGACAAUGGGCGCAAGCCUGAUCCAGCCAUACCGCGUGGGUGAAGAAGGCCUUCGGGUUGUAAAGCCCUUUUGUUGGGAAAGAAAAGCAGCAGGUUAAUACCCCGCUGUUCUGACGGUACCCAAAGAAUAAGCACCGGCUAACUUCGUG